CGUCGCGGUUUUUCCCCAGGGGUCACACCCGUUCCCAUCCCGAACACGGCCGUUAAGACCUGGAGGGCCGAUGAUACUGCUCUGCACAGGAGUGGAAAAGUAGGUCGCUGCGACGU
rnacentral:rRNA from 1 species